ACAGUUCAAAGAAGUCAAAAAAUUAAAAGUCCUACGAAUAAGGACCCUUGAAGCAACAAGGAUGCUAAUAGACUGAUAGAAAAUGAAGCCUUUGUUAUUCUUAGGAGCACACUUCACAACCCUCUGUUGGACCUUUGGUGCACCCCUGAAGGACCCCUGGGAGGCCCUCAGACCCCAGUUUUAGAGCCCUGAGGUGGUGAAACCUAAGGUGCUGUGGCCUGUCGGUGAUGCAUCUCGCCUCAGCUCGCCUUGCUGUCACAACUACACUGCUGUCACUGAGCAGCUCACAGGGCUCAGGAUUUAUUUUUGGAUUGUCAUGGCGCCUGUUCCUUCCAUUUGCAGAAGGGGGGUCGAGUUGGGCUCGACAUGAACCUGCCGCUCUGACACUCCGGGCUGGGACAAGCAGGCAGCAGCCGGCCGGCCGCGCCCCAAGCAGCAGUCGCACAGAAGAACCUGCCUGGAGUGCUUUUGAACAUCAGCAACAAGUUUUUACCUGGUAAGCUCUUCCAUUUUUCAUCGAAAACCACUGUUUGCUGUGUUUGAGCCUCAUAACUUCAGGUAAAUGACUUUUUGGGGUGGAUUCAUUUGCUUAAGCAGGGCAUUGUGGAGCAGCUUGGCUUUUAUUAUGCAGCUAUUAUUACUCUUUCCUCUUUUGAACUUGCAUCCUGAAGGCACUCCAAAUACCAAAACUACCAAAGCCUUAAAAGGAGCAGUGAGCAUCUCAUGUGUCAGGCAGGCAGCAGGUUCAGACAGGGAGAUGUGCGCGUGCAAGGGUGGGUGGGAGGUCUAAAACACAACCAGCACUGGCCUACAUUACACUGAGGUGACACACAUAGUAAACUAAGGAUAUCAAACACUCGUUUUUUGCAGACUUCAUGAUGUCAGUGUUGCUUUAUUUGUAACUCAAACCUUCUUAUUACUUCUUAUCAAAAACAUUUCGGCGUCUUAUUUUAAGCCGACCUCGACUCUGCUGACUCAUUUUCCAUUAAUUAAAAAAGAACUACAGAACAGUGCAUUAGAAAGUACAUCUCCCAGUCUGAGGUUCAUGAUCCAUUUCUGUUGAGUGGUCCUGUCAUGUGAUUGGACAUUCUCAGUGACAACAUAUUUCCCAGGCCCUAUCUGGUGUUUGGGAGCUGUGAUGUCAUAAGGUCAGAUGCUUUGCAUUCACUUUCACCCUUCAGCAGAACUGCACAUACACGUCUAUAUGUGUGCAUUUAUUUAUGUGGGGUGAGACAUGAGAGGAUAUGUGAUGGAGCUGCACUCCAUUUCUGGCUAGUAUUAAAUAUCAAACUAUGAUUUAUGGCCUGAGCAGGAAAGCAAAUAUAACCCUUUUUUCAAAAUAAUAACACCAACACAAGGUACAUUUGUUAAAUUCUGAAAUUUCAGGCUAAAGAAAGAAAAGUCCAAGUCUAGUAAGUUAAGUGCAAAGUGAAUCAUCUCACUAAAUAAUAAGGAGAUACCCAAAAAUCAGCCAUUUAUUGAUUCUACUGGUUUUGACAUUUAAAUAAUUUGGCCAGAUUUUCAUGAAUUUGCUUUGGGCAAUCUUGUACAUUGAAGAAUGUACAGGAUUAUUGUGACUCCAUGACCUGUUCUCUAGCAUCACUAUUACAAAGAAAUAUCUAUGCAUGAAGCUACAUGACAUGAGUCAAUUAGUUAGACUACAAUGAAAUAAAGGCCUGGAUGUAAUAACUUUCUUUUUCUAUAUUCAGACAAAACAGUUCUUAAAAAUCUAAAAAAUCUUAGAAACAUGUUGUCUACUUACACUGGACGGUAUUACCUUGGCCUCCGGCAACACUAUGAGGAACCUGGGAGCAAUUUUUGAUCAGGAUAUCUCCUUGAGUGCACAUAUUCAGCUAAUAUGUAGGUCUGCUUUCUUUCUUUCUUUGGAGUAUCUAUAAAAUUAGAAACAUCUUGUCUGAGUAUUGCUGAAAAACAGGGGCUAAAAAUAGAAAUCACAUUUGUCCCAUAUUGGCUUCUCUUUGGUGGCUGAAUAAUUGAAUUUAAAAUUCUUUUUCUGAAAUACAAAAAUUCUGAAUAUUCAGGCCCACCUUGUCUUAAAGACCUACUAGUACCAUAUUAUCCUAACAGAGCUCUUUGAGGUUUCUUGAGUUUCUAAGAGUAGAAUGGGAGGCAGAGCCUUCAGCCAUCCGGUCCCUUUCCUUUCCUGUGGAACCAGCUCCCAGUUUACAUUUCAGUUUUUGUUCAGACUGCUGUGAUACCUCAUGCGAUUCACUGUAAGCUUUUCUUUUGCACUCACCUCUUUUAAGUCCCCAUGUUUAUAUAUCACUCCAGCACGUCAUUCGUUUUCUUCUCCCUUGGUCUGUGUUUUGUCCUUCUCACCCCAUUAUUUGGUUCAUCCUCUUUCACUUCUACCCCCCAACCGGUCAUAGUAGAUGGCUGCCCAUCCAUGAGCCUGGUUCUGCUGGAGGUUUUUUCCUGUUAAAAGGGAGUUUUUCCUUCUCACUAAGUGUUUGCUCAUAGGGGGUUAUUUGAUUGUCAGGGUUUUCUCCAGAAUACUGUAGCGUCUUUACCUUACAGUUUUAAGCCCAUUUAUGUGGCUGUUGUUGUCAUUUGGCACUACAUAAAUAAUCAUGAGGUGAAUUAAAACUAAUACACAUUAUCCUCCAUUAAUCUAUGAAGAUUAUCAUAUUGCAACUCCCCACAUUUUAAAACCUUCUUGAACAUGCAGAAUGAAAG
rnacentral:lncRNA from 1 species